GCCGAUGUGGCGGAAUUGGCAGACGCACCAGACUCAAAAUCUGGCGGGAAACCAUGUGGGUUCGAGUCCCACCAUCGGUA
rfam:Clostridium sp. CAG:273 genomic scaffold, scf328